GGGAGUGGCAGACGGGUGAGUAACGCGUGGGAACGUACCCUUCGGUUCGGGACAACUCUUGGAAACAAGGGCUAAUACCGGAUACGUCCGUAAGGAGAAAGAUUUAUCGCCGAAGGAUCGGCCCGCGUUGGAUUAGCUUGUUGGUGAGGUAACGGCUCACCAAGGCGACGAUCCAUAGCUGGUCUGAGAGGAUGAUCAGCCACACUGGGACUGAGACACGGCCCAGACUCC
rnacentral:rRNA from 1 species